UUAAAAUUUCAUCUCAAUUUAUGUUCUAGACACCAGCUUCAUAAUAACAAAGUUAUUUUACUAAAUUCUUUAUUUUCCAAAUUAAUUGAAGCAAAGGCAGUGAUGCAAAAUUCUUC